AGUGAACGCUGGCGGUAGGCCUAACACAUGCAAGUCGAACGGCAGCACAGUAAGAGCUUGCUCUUACGGGUGGCGAGUGGCGGACGGGUGAGGAAUACAUCGGAAUCUACUUUUUCGUGGGGGAUAACGUAGGGAAACUUACGCUAAUACCGCAUACGACCUACGGGUGAAAGCAGGGGAUCUUCGGACCUUGCGCGAUUGAAUGAGCCGAUGUCGGAUUAGCUAGUUGGCGGGGUAAAGGCCCACCAAGGCGACGAUCCGUAGCUGGUCUGAGAGGAUGAUCAGCCACAAUGGAAAUGAGAAACGGUCCAGACUCCUAAGGGAGGCAGCAGUGGGGAAUAUUGGACAAUGGGCGGAAGCCUGAUCCAGCCAUACCGCGUGGGGGAAGAAGGCCUUCGGGUUGUAAAGCCCUUUUGUUGGGAAAGAAAAGCAGCAGGUUAAUACCCCGCUGUUCUGAAGGUAACCAAAGAAUAAGCACCGGCUAACUUCGUG
rnacentral:rRNA from 1 species